GGCGUCGCCGGGAGCCUGAUGCAGCGACGCCGCGUGACCGAAGAAGCCCUUCGGGGUGUAAAGGUCUUUUCUGAAGGAUGAAUUAUGACAGUACUUCAGGAAUAAGCCACGGCUAACCUCGUGCCAGCAGCCGCGGUAAGACGAGGGUGGCAAGCGUUAUCCGGAAUUAUUGGGCGUAAAGCGUCUGUAGGCGAUCUGGCAAGUUUUCUGUGAAAUUCCAAUGCUCAACAUUGGAGCUGCAGAAAAUACUGCCAGAAUUGAGGAAGAUAGAGGUAAGUGGAAUUCCCGGUGUAGUAGUGAAAUGCGUUAAUAUCGGGAGGAACACCAAUAGCGAAGGCAGCUUACUGGAUCUUUCCUGACGCUCAGAGACGAAAGCGUGGGUAGCGAAGGGGAUUAAAUACCCCCUGUAGUCA
rnacentral:rRNA from 1 species